UUUUGUAAAGGGCACACUUAUCGAAAGAUAAGGUCGCAAAACUGAGGGUCUAAGGUAUGUAUCGUAUACUAUGAUUGCCAGAUUACCAAA
rnacentral:ncRNA from 1 species